GGCCCGAGAUGGAGCGGAUCAGCAUCGCCCACAGCGCCGACAGCCCCGAGCUCUGGUGAGCGCUCCCCGCCGCAAUUCCGGGCACGCGGGAUUUCGGGCGGCGCUCCUCGGCCCCGGCAGAAUCCGAAACCCCGCGGGGUGACCCGUCCCUGCCUCAGCGUGGGGCUCCCCAUCGUCCCCUGGCUUUCCUCUCCGUCCUGCUCAAGCCUGAAACGGGAAUUGGCGAGAUGAUCCCAGUGAAUCCAUGAAUUCUUCCCGUUGAAUUCAUUAUUUCUUCCCGCUGAAUUCAUUUCGUACUUCCCACUGAAUUCAUUAAUUAUUUCCAAUGAAUUCAUUAUUUCUUCCCACUGAAUUAAUUUCGUACUUCCCUCUGAAUUCAUUAAUUAUUUCCAAUGAAUUAAUUUUGUACUUCCCACUGAAUUCAUUUCGUACUUCCCACUGA
rnacentral:lncRNA from 1 species